UACAGAGGUCUCAUGCGUUGUUCGGAUUCAUUGGGCGUAAAGGGUGCGUAGGUGGCGCCGUAAGUGGGGUGUGAAAUCUCGGGGCUUAACUCCGAAACUGCAUUCCAUACUGCGGUGCUCGAGGACUGGAGAGGAGACUGGAAUUUACGGUGUAGCAGUGAAAUGCGUAGAGAUCGUAAGGAAGACCAGUGGCGAAGGCGGGUCUCUGGACAGUUCCUGACGCUGAGGAGCGAAAGCCAGGGGAGCAAACGGG
rnacentral:rRNA from 1 species